rnacentral:rRNA from 1 species
GACGAACGCUGGCGGCGGGCUUAACACAUGCAAGUCGAACGGAAAGGCCCUGCUUUUGUGGGGUUCUCGAGUGGCGAACGGGUGCGUAACACGUGAGUAACCUGCCCUUGACUUUGGGAUAACUUCAGGAAACUGGGGCUAAUACCGGAUAGGAGCUCCUGCUGCAUGGAGGGGGUUGGAAAGUUUCGGCGGUCGGGGAUGGACUCGCGGCUUAUCAGCUUGUUGGUGGGGUAGUGGCUUACCAAGGCUGUGACGGGUAGCCGGCAUGAGAGGGUGACCGGCCACCUUGGGACUGAGAUACGGAGCAGACUGCUACGGGAGGCAGCAGUGGGGAAUAUUGCACAGUGGGCGGAAGCCUGAUGCAGCAACGCCGCGUGCGGGAUGACGGCCUUCGGGUUGUAAACCGCUUUAGCCUGUGACGAAGCGUGAGUGACGGUAAUGGGUAAAGAAGCACCGGCUAACUACGUG